GUGCCAGCAGCCGCGGUAAUUCCAGUCUGCCAAUAGCGUAUAUUAAAGUUGUUGCAGUUAAAAAGCUCGUAGUUGAAACUUGGGCCUGGCUGGCAGGUCCGCCUCACCGCGUGUACUUGUCCGGCCGGGCCUUUCCUUCUGGAGAACCUCAUGCCCUUCACUGGGUGUGUUGGGGAACCAGGACUUUUACUUUGAAAAAAUUAGAGUGUUCAAAGCAGGCCUUUGCUCGAAUACGUUAGCAUGGAAUAAUAGAAUAGGACGUGCGGUCCUAUUUUGUUGGUUUCUAGGACCGCCGUAAUGAUUAAUAGGGACAGUCGGGGGCAUCAGUAUUCAAUUGUCAGAGGUGAAAUUCUUGGAUUUAUUGAAGACUAACUACUGCGAAAGCAUUUGCCAAGGAUGUUUUCAUUAAUCAGUGAACGAAAGUUAGGGGGAUCGAAGACGAUCAGAUACCGUCGUAGUCUUAACCGUAAACUAUGCCGACUAGGGAUCGGGCGAUGUUCUUUUUCUGACUCGCUCGGCACCUUACGAGAAAUCAAAGUUUUUGGGUUCUGGGGGGGAGUAUGGUCGCAAGGCUGAGACUUAAAGAAAUUGACGGAAGGGCACCACCAGGCGUGGAGCCUGCGCUUUAAUUUUGACUCAACACGGGGAAACUCACCAGGUCCAGAUGAAAUAAGGAUUGACAGAUUGAGAGCUCUUUCUUGAUUUUUCAGGUGGUGGUUGCAUGGGCGUUCUUAGUUGGUGGAGUGAUUUGUCUGCUUAAUUGCGAUAACGAACGAGACCUUAACCUGCUAAAUAGGCAAGGCUAGCUUUGGCUGGGUCGCCGGCUUCUUAGAGGAACUAUCG
rnacentral:rRNA from 1 species